UACGAAGGGAGCUAGCGUUGUUCGGAAUCACUGGGCGUAAAGCGCACGUAGGCGGUCGUGUCAGUCAGGGGUGAAAUCCCGGAGCUCAACUGCGGAACUGCCUUUGAUACAGCACGUCUUGAGUCCGGAAGAGGUGGGUGGAAUUCCUAGUGUAGAGGUGAAAUUCGUAGAUAUUAGGAAGAACACCGGUGGCGAAGGCGGCCCACUGGUCCGGUACUGACGCUGAGACGCGAAAGCGUGGGGAGCAAACAGG
rnacentral:rRNA from 1 species